rnacentral:rRNA from 1 species
CACGUCGCUGGGCAAAGUCCGUCGCAAGGCGUGGCUCGUCUGGCUCGUGCUAGCUUUGGGUAAUGGCCCUGUGCUUUACGGCAUGGGAUCACCGUUCCCAAUCAUUUACUUUGAAAAAAUUAGAGUGUUCAAAGCAGGCGUAAGCCAUUGAAUAUUACAGCAUGGGAUAAUAGAAUAGGACGGCAUGGUUCUAUUUUGUUGGUUUCUAGGAUCACCGUA